rfam:Eubacterium saphenum ATCC 49989 genomic scaffold Scfld0, whole genome shotgun sequence.
UCCGGUGACUAUAGCGAGAAGGUUACACCUGUUCCCAUCCCGAACACAGUAGUUAAGUUUCUCUGCGCUGAUGAUACUAUAUGGGUGACUGUAUGGAAAAGCAGGUCGUUGCCGGUU